UACGGAGGGUGCGAGCGUUGUCCGGAAUCACUGGGCGUAAAGGGCGCGUAGGUGGCCUGUGGAAGUCUGCGGUGAAAGCCCGGCGCUCAACGCCGGGUCGGCCGUGGAUACUCUCGGGCUUGAGCUUACUAGAGGCAGAUGGAAUUCCGGGUGUAGCGGUGGAAUGCGUAGAGAUCCGGAAGAACACCGGUGGCGAAGGCGGCUUCCUGGACCGAUUACUGACGCUGAGGCGCGAAAGCUAGGGGAGCAAACGAG
rnacentral:rRNA from 1 species